rnacentral:rRNA from 1 species
UGGUGAAUUUUGGACAAUGGGCGCAAGCCUGAUCCAGCCAUGCCGCGUGGGUGAAGAAGGCCUUCGGGUUGUAAAGCCCUUUUGUCCGGAAAGAAAAGUUCUGGGUUAAUAACCCAGGAUCAUGACGGUACCGGAAGAAGAAGCCCCGGCUAACUUCGUGCCAGCAGCCGCGGUAAUACGAAGGGGGCUAGCGUUGUUCGGAAUUACUGGGCGUAAAGCGCACGUAGGCGGACUUUUAAGUCAGGGGUGAAAUCCCGGGGCUCAACCUCGGAACUGCCUUUGAUACUGGAUCACUAGAGUGCGGUAGAGGAUAGUGGAAUUCCCGGUGUAGCAGUGAAAUGCGUAGAGAUCGGGAGGAACACCAGUGGCGAAGGCGACUAUCUGGACCAGCACUGACACUGAGGCACGAAAGCGGGGGGAGAAAACA